UAUAUUAUGUUAUUUUGACUUGUUCCAGUGAUUGGUUGGAACAUUUGUUUUGAUUUUUGGUGCAUUCUAUAUCCAGUGGUGUGACAACUUGUUUCUCGCCCUGUAAUUGGAUCUACUUGAAUAUAAGAAUAAAUUAUUAUUAUUAUUAUGUAAUCUUUUCAAGUUGUAAUCAAGUUUAAUUGUCAUAGAAUUAUGGGAUCUGAAGAUCACAACCACUAUGUGGCUCUGCUAUCAAUUUGGGAUUCCUGUAGAUUAAAUAAUGAAAAUGAAUGUGUUAAUUUUCUUAAUUUUCCUCAGGAUCUGCAGCUGAAUCCUGUGGUAAUAAACUAAAACAAGACUGCUAACUACCCAGUACUAAUAAGCAAAUUAUUUUUGCCUGAAAUAUAUGGUAAAUACUGGCUUCAAAUUUUAGGUCAAUGUGAAAGAUGAGAGGUUUUCUGCACUUUUCUCUUCGCAUCAUUUCAACAUAGACCCUACUGACUCUCAUUACCAUGAAACCAAAGGAAUGGAGGCUUUCAGGGCUGAGAAAUUAUAUCGAAGACAGUGUUCGAUGAAUGACAUUCCAAAUGGGUUACCAGCUAAAAUUCAGAAGAUGGACACAGUUUCUGGCAGGGAUCCUGAAUUAUCGUUGCUUGUUAAAGCAGUUAAAAGAAAAACACAAAGUUUGCAUAAAGGAGGAAGGUAAUAGUUUUAAGAAAAUGUUUUUGUUGCAAACAAAACAUUUAUUACCAGCCA